GAUGAACGCUGGCGGCGUGCCUAAUACAUGCAAGUCGAGCGAACGGACGAGAAGCUUGCUUCUCUGAUGUUAGCGGCGGACGGGUGAGUAACACGUGGAUAACCUACUUAUCUGACUGGGAUCACUUCGGGAAACCGGAGCUAAUACCGGAUAAUCUUUUGCACCGCAUGGUUCAAAAGUGAAAGUCGGUCUUGCUGUCUCUUCUAGAUGGAUCCGCGCUGCAUUAGCUAGUUGGUAAGGUAACGGGUUAUCAAGGCAACGAUGCAUAUCCGACGUGCGAGGGGGGUAGGCCACACGGGAAGGUAAACACGGUCCAGGCUCCUGCGGUAGGCAGCAGUAGGGAAUCUGCCGCAAAGGUCGAAAGCAUUGCGGAGCAACGCGACGUGAGUUAUAAAAGUCCUCGGAGCGUAAAACUCUGUUAUGAGUGAAGAACAUAUUUGUAAGUAACUGAACACAUCUUGACGGUACCUAAUCAGAAAGCCACGGCUAACUACGUG
rnacentral:rRNA from 1 species